AGGCGCUCUGUGCAUUGUGGGUUAGGAAAUGAAGCUUGGUUCCUCUUGCCCUUUGAGUGCCCUCCUCUUAAACGAAGAGGGGAGUGGUGUGUGAAUUCCCAGAGUCUUCGGAUAGUUUGGCCCAACCUGUUACCUCUCAACAACUCAAAGCCUCUGCCAUGUAGGGUAGGGGACUUCUGACCUCAAGAGGAUGGCAGAGACACAAGACUGAAGGAACCUGGGACCCUGCCUGCCAAUGAGGAAUAUUAGCAUCCU